ensembl:ncRNA F28D1.19 ncRNA
GAGAGCUUAGACAAUUAGUAGGUCAAUGGGAAAAGCGUCUCCCUUUCAGAAGGAAAGGAUUCGAAGCAGUUGGAGAAUAGAAAAAUAGAUCGAAUGAUACUUUCGAUAUGAUUAGAAGAAAAUGAGAUGAAACAAAAACUGGAU